AUUGGGGAGUAGGAAAUCAUCUGGACUUCCCUCACAGACUCUACUAUUGACCAGUAUUGAGUUAGAUAACUUUCAAGAAUACUUUCUGAAAACGUUUUAGUUUCCUUUACUGAAAAAAUGACCAAGCUCCCAUGUCUGAGAACCGGUGGUGUCUGUGUCUGCUGGCCCACAGUACUCAUUACGUACUGGGAUAUAAAUAAAUAAUCCCCACUUAACUUUGGGAUUGGGCAUUCAAGAUAGUGUCUCAAUAUGCAGAUUGACACUAAUGAAUGUUUUACAUACAACCAAACAUGCCACUGUUUAUUAGCUUCCUGAGUAUUAUUUUUUUCUUUCCCACCAACUUUAGAGAAGCUCCUGACAGCCCUAUUUUCACGAGUAUUGGAACUAGAAUCUACUCUAAAAGCUCCUAUCCCUCACCCACUCUUUGCAAUGACCGGAUGAAGUAGGUACUAUGGCAUUGUAUAGAGAAGUAAAUAGGCACAGAGAUUAAAUUAUUGAAGAGCAUGACAGAAUGACGUAUUUAGAUUGCUGUUAACUUAGUGCCUGCUCACUAGUAAAU
rnacentral:lncRNA from 1 species